rnacentral:rRNA from 1 species
UAGGGAAUCUUCGGCAAUGGGGGGAACCCUGACCGAGCAACGCCGCGUGAGUGAAGAAGGUUUUCGGAUCGUAAAGCUCUGUUGUUAAGGAAGAACGAGUGUGAGAAUGGAAAGUUCAUGCUGUGACGGUACUUAACCAGAAAGGGACGGCUAACUACGUGCCAGCAGCCGCGGUAAUACGUAGGUCCCGAGCGUUGUCCGGAUUUAUUGGGCGUAAAGCGAGCGCAGGCGGUUAGAUAAGUCUGAAGUUAAAGGCAGUGGCUCAACCAUUGAAGGCUUUGGAAACUGUUUAACUUGAGUGCAGAAGGGGAGCGUGGAAUUCCAUGUGUAGCGGUGAAAUGCGUAGAUAUAUGGAGGAACACCGGUGGCGAAAGCGGCUCUCUGGUCUGUAACUGACGCUGAGGCUCGAAAGCGUGGGGAGCGAACAGG